AAAGAGACCCGGGAUCCCUCUGGAGAGGCCCUCGGGAGCUGGCGGCAGGGCUGGGAGAGGCGUCGCCUCUGCACGGGGGUGGGUUCUCUUCUCCGGGCUCCAGGCUCUGUCCUCAACUUUCUGCCUCUCGGCUUUUCAUCACCCUGAUCUAUAUUUGCCCCAAUUCUCUUUCAUGUGUGUGCAUGUGUGUAAGCACAUAUUGUGAAUGUGGAGGUCAGAGGACAACUUUCAGGAGUCAGGUCUCUUUCCAGCAUGUGGAUCCUAGGAACUGAACUCAGGUCAUCAGAUUUGGUGGCAAGAAACUUCACCUGCUGAGCCCAGCCUGGUUUUCUUUGUUUGUUGUUGUUUGUUUUGUGGUUUUUGAAACAGAAUCUCUCAUAGUCAGCCCAGGCUGGCUUUGAACUUGCUACGUAGUUGAGGAUGAACUGAACUCAUUCUCCUGCCUCAGCUGCUCAAGUGCUCGGAUACAGGCACGGACCACCAUGCCUGUUUAGUUCACACAUUGUUCAUACCACUCAUUCUUUGACUGUGGGCAUGUUUGCCUCUCUGCGUGCAUGCGUGGAUAUGUGUGCCUCUGCGCCUUACAGAUUAUAAAUUCAGUUCUGGAAAGAAACACUGAUACCAUGCCACACGAGCACACUUUUGAAGAAAAGGUGCCUGCAUCUGUUUUCCACAGCAUAGAUGCUCUUGAUGAGAAGACAGACUCCGGAGGGGAUUUGUCUUUUAUAGACAAAGCUGAGGCAGGGCAUCUCUUGUAUUAUACAAUACCAGGCAAUCAAUUGGUAGGUAAGCCCAAGCUCCCACCGUGUCAUGCUUCCAGUAAUACUUUAGGAGACCCAGGAGGUCAUCAGAAAAGCAGCUGCUUAGAUGACUAGAGCUAGAGGAGGCCCUCAGCAGCACUGAAAUUGUGUAGUAUAUGUUGAGUUGUAUGUAUUUAACUUGAAUUAAUUUGCCGCAUGUGUCUGGUGGCCAUAUUGGAUGGUACAGCUUUUGUUCAUAGGUACAAAUUACUUAUGAGCUACAAGCUUUUUCAAUUAAGGUAAUUUUAAUUAAAUUUACUUCAUGCCAGAUUAUUUAUCAUCUCUGAUAUAAGUAGUGAAUAACUGAGUGUAUCCUGACUGCAUAUGAAGUGCACAUGAGUGACCCUGACUGCAUAUGAAAUGCACAUGAGUGAUCCUGUCUGCACAUGAAAUGUACAUGAGUGACCCUGACUACACAUGUAGUGCACAUGAGUGACCCUGACUAUACAUGAAAUGCACAUGAGUGACCCUGACUGCACAUGUAGCACCAUGAGUGAUCCUGACUGCACAUGAAAUGCACAUGAGUGACCCUGACUGCACAUGUAGCACCAUGAGUGAUCCUGACUGCACAUGAAAUGCACAUGAGUGACCCUGACUGCACAUGUAGCACCAUGAGUGAUCCUGACUGCACAUGAAAUGUACAUGAGUGACCCUGACUGCACAUGUAGCACCAUGAGUGAUCCUGACUGCACAUGAAAUGCACAUGAGUGACUCUGACUGCACAUGUAGUGCACAUGAGUGACCCUGAUUAUAGGGUUUAUGUUUGUCCCUCAGCAAGCAGCUCUAUAGUGGGCAAUGGAAAGGGGCGCUAGAUGGGUGGCAAGAGAGGGUUGAGGGAUCUGUUUGGGUUUCAAGUUCUGCCAUCCUGAAUGUAGAUUUUUUUUUUUUUUAAUCUGAGAAGGUUGCUAUAUCUUCCCAAAUCAGAUUCUCUGAGAAGUCAGGAAUAAAAGGAAUGGAAAGGGCUGGGGGUAGGGUGCCAGGGAUUUAGGGUUUGAUUCCCAACACCAUGGCAUGAUUUAUGGUAAUUAAAAUCUGGAAAUAACUCAAACAUAUGUCAGUAAGGUACUGUUUGGAUAAUGUACAAUCCAGUUACAUAAUCACAUCUCCUGUAGGCAAAUAGCAGUAAGGACACAAUGUGUCAGAUUGCCAAGAAUCUGGAUUAUUAAAUUUAAAAAAUGAAUUAAAUAAAUAAAAAAUAAGAAAGCUGG